GAGUAUACUGGGCCCAGCCAGAUUCUCUGGGUGCUUUCUUCUUUCUUAGUUCCCCCUUUAUUGUGGGCCCUCCUCAGUGCCAACAUUGCUUUGUCUCUCGCUGGAGAAGCCUGUGAGAACGAGGAUGGGCAAAGUGUCAGGCUCUUGGUGCAGCUGAAAAUCCUUUGAGAUGGAAGAAAUGGCUGGAACAAAGGGGCAGAGGAACAAAAAGCCCUGAACUGCUUCGCCCCUGCCUCGUGGGGUCUUUAUCAUCUUAAACCUUGGGAUUUGAACAUCUGUCCAGUCCCUGGGAUGGUGAGGCUAUAACCACAAAGGAAUAAGAGAAGACGACUAGUUUUGUAAUGGGGACAUUGGCUGCUGUCUUCUGACCCACCCUGUGUGGCUUUGGCGUCUCCUGUGACCUCCCAGUAUGGGUCUUGGCCUCAUCCUGCCUCUUUGUCUUUCUGGCCCACCACCCACAGCUUGAAUCUCAGGCUCCAACAGUUGCCUGACCCCCAGAUUCUGAUGACAGCCUACCUACUUGUUCUUCAGGCCCUCACCAGACUCACUGCCCAGACACACCACACAGGAGAACAUGAAAGGCUUUGAAUGAUGCAUUGGCCCACGUGGACCACCUUCCAUUUCCCAAGACUUUUUGAAGGCAAUGAAUGAGAAGAAAGCAGAGAAAACAGUGGGCGUGAGGUCAGAUGACUCAGGCUUGAGUACUGAUCACAUCAAGGAUUGGACGCACUGCUCUUAGGAAGGCACAACUUCUACUACUUUCAGUCUUAUCAACUGUGAGAGUGUACCCUUGCUGUAGAUGCCACCCGCCCAGCAGUCCUCAUCAUCUUGGCCCAGGAUCACCUGAAACAGAUGAUCCUCCUUUUGAGCUACCAUCAGAAGGUCCACAGUACUAGCCCAGCGCUACAUCCCAAUGCCUACGCCAUUCAUCUCACCUCAUCUCAUCACGUAGACAUUUCAUCAUGUCACAUCAUCACAAGAAGGGAAUCUAUUCACAAAUAAGGUUUUGUGGAUUCAACAGCUUUACUGAAGAUAUGUAGAUUGUUGUUAGCGCUUCCUACCUUGCACAGCCUCUUGUCCCGUCACUGGCCCCAUGCAUCUUCCUCUGCUGCCUUCAAGAAGCUCCAGAUCCUGCCACAGACGUGCUCCACUCAGAGGACUGGAGUCCAAUCCCCUGACAGUGCUUUUCUCUUUGGGAAGCACCCCCUCCCCCACUGCCAUUAAACCUCUGGAAUUCUAUGGAAUAAAGUAAACAUUAACUUA
rnacentral:lncRNA from 1 species